GAUGAACGCUGGCGGCGUGCCUAACACAUGCAAGUCGAGCGAGAAGUAAAGAAAUGAAGCUUCGGUAGAUUUUCAUUAUGGAAAGCGGCGGACGGGUGAGUAACGCGUAGGCAACCUGCCCUGUACAGGGGGAUAGCCACCCGAAAAGGUGAUUAAUACCCCAUGAUGCAAGAGAUACACAUGUAUCACUUGUCAAAGAUUUAUCGGUAUGGGAUGGGCCUGCGUCUGAUUAGCUAGUUGGUAGGGUAACGGCUUACCAAGGCAACGAUCAGUAGCCGACCUGAGAGGGUGAUCGGCCACAUUGGAACUGAGACACGGUCCAAACUCCUACGGGAGGCAGCAGUGGGGAAUAUUGCACAAUGGGGGAAACCCUGAUGCAGCAACGCCGCGUGAAGGAAGAAGGCCUUCGGGUUGUAAACUUCUGUCCUAGGGGAAGAAACAAAGGACAUUACCCUGGAGGAGCCCC
rnacentral:rRNA from 1 species